rnacentral:rRNA from 1 species
AGUCACUGACAUUAGAUACCCGCGUAGUCCCAGCCGUAAACAAUGUGCGUUAGGUGUGUCGGUAACCACGUGUUACUGAUGCGCCGAAGAGAAAUCGUGAAACGCACCACCUGGGAAGUACGGUCGCAAGGCUGAAACUUAAAGGAAUUGCGGGGGGAGCACCACAACAGGUGGAGCCUGCGGUUUAAUUGGAUUCAACGCCGGACAUCUCACCGGAUAAGACAGCUGAAUGAUUGUCAAUCUGAAGGUUUUACAUGACUAGCUG